AUUGAACGCUGGCGGCAGGCCUAACACAUGCAAGUCGAGCGGAUUAGUGGAGCUUGCUCCAUGAUUCAGCGGCGGACGGGUGAGUAAUGCCUAGGAAUCUGCCUGGUUGUGGGGGAUAACGUUUCGAAAGGAACGCUAAUACCGCAUACGUCCUACGUGAGAAUGUGGGGGAUCUUCGGACCUCACGCUAUCAGAUGAGCCUAGGUCGGAUUAGCUAGUUGGUGGGGUAAUGGCCCAUCAAGGCGACGAUCCGUAACUGGUCUGAGAGGAUGAUGAGUCACACUGGAACUGAGGCACGGUCCAGACUCCUACGGGAGGAAGCAGUGGGGAAUAUUGGACAAUGGGCGAAAGCCUGAUCCAGCCAUGCCGCGUGUGUGAAGAAGGUCUUCGGAUUGUAAAGCACUUUAAGUUGGGAGGAAGGGCAGUAAGUUAAUACCUUGCUGUUUUGACGUUACCAACAGAAUAAGCACCGGCUAACUUCGUGCCAGCCGCCGCCGUAAUAC
rnacentral:rRNA from 1 species